CCCUCUGGUUCCUGAGAAUGCCAAUGGACCCACAGAGCUUCACGAGACUCUUCACCCCAGACUCCAUGAGGCUCAUUUGUAGGAUCAGAUUGAGACACAGCAUGAGCUCCAGAAGAGUUAACAUCUGUUGUGACAGAUUCAUGCAUACGCUCACCCGUGCUUCAGAGUAAAGACCCAGAGUGACACUGACUUGCAAAGUAACAGUGAAGACACAGGUUACCAAGAUCGUGUGGCAUGUGCAGGAUGGCAUAUACUCCUUGCUUGAAAUGAAAGCAGCAGCGCUCUUUCGUGUCUGGACAAUGAGCUGGAUUUAGAUUCUCAGCGUCUGUGACUGAAAUCCUGUGAUUUAACACUGGUGUCUUGGAAAAUAAUCAUCCUCAGGGAAUCCUAAUCAAACUCUGUAAGAAGAAACAAUGUAAGGAUUUCAGUCUCCUCUGAAGCAUAUUUAUGUGGAGAUUAAUGCCAUGAACUAGACACUUUCAGAGAAGUCUUUUCUCUGGAAGGGAACUACAGGAUAAACAACCCAAGUGCUGGUUCUUGUUCUGAACAUAGAGCAAUUUUCCUGCAUCUUUGGCCUGCCACGUUUGGAUUCAUGUCUUUAUGUCCUAUACGGUAUCAGAAAAAGCAGAUCACAACAGUUCUAAGUGUUCAUUUUCAGAGACACUAAUAACAGCCUUGAUUGCUGUGACCUAAGAAGAAUUUCAAGAGCUUGGUGUGCUCUGAGUAUGAACAAUCUUAUGACUGCUGCAGUGCUUCAGUUUGCCAAGCUGAAUUUUCCUUCACUGAAUUUUAAACCACUUUAACCUUGAUCUAGCCCAAUGUGAGGUAAGAUUUGCGCACUUCCAAAACUAAGGAAGCAAAAAUGGGACAAAGAUCCAAUCUGCAUGCAAAACUCCCAUGCCUAGGGAAGCCAGGGCUACCAGCUGCUACAUGCAUUGUUUUCUUUCUAAGUUUUUAACAUGGUGACAUUUUGGUGACAGUGAAAUAUGGAAAAACAUAGGAAAAAUUUAAUUGGCUUUCUGGCAAGUUGAAAAUUU